UACGGGGGGGGCAAGCGUUGUUCGGAAUUACUGGGCGUAAAGGGCUCGUAGGCGGCCAACUAAGUCAGACGUGAAAUCCCUCGGCUUAACCGGGGAACUGCGUCUGAUACUGGAUGGCUUGAGAUUGGGAGAGGGAUGCGGAAUUCCAGGUGUAGCGGUGAAAUGCGUAGAUAUCAGGAGGAAUACCGGUGGUGUAGACGGCUCUCUGGACCGCCACUGACGCUGAGACACGAAAGCGUGGGUAGCAAACAGG
rnacentral:rRNA from 1 species